rnacentral:lncRNA from 1 species
CGUGCGUCGAGCAUUUAUCACAUAACUGUUCUUCAUACUGCGUUUUAAAAUAUACCGAUCUCGUUACAUUACAUGACUGUAAGCAUUCGUCAAAUGACUGUUGCUGUCCCGCUGUGUGUGUACAACAAAGUGGUUUCAUUCUAUACCUAAAGCCUCCACAUGUACUGUUACAGGCUGCCCACGGAGCCCAAGGGUAAUAUUCACAUGGUUUCAGUCCAUACGAGCAUGAACUUUGUGUCCUUGAUAAAGAAAUACUCCAUACAAUGAUGCUACAGUACAAGAUCCAAAACAUCAUCAAUAAAAGUUAAAACUAUUGUUAACCUAUCUAAGUAUGACGAUAUCACAGUUGUAUUUCAAUGAUCAAGAUAGGUAUCGUUAACCAAACACGUUCGUAUACUUC